rnacentral:rRNA from 1 species
AGAGUUUGAUCAUGGCUCAGAAUCAACGCUGGCGGCGUGCCUAACACAUGCAAGUCGCACGAGAAAGUGGAGCAAUCCAUGAGUAAAGUGGCGCACGGGUGAGUAACACGUGAAUGAUCUACCUCCGAGUGGGGAAUAACUGAGAGAAAUCUUAGCUAAUACCGCAUAAUACCCACGGGUCAAAGCAGCAAUGCGCUUGGAGAGGAGUUCGCGGCCGAUUAGCUAGUUGGCGGGGUAAUGGCCCACCAAGGCGAUGAUCGGUAUCCGGCCUGAGAGGGCGCACGGACACACUGGAACUGAAACACGGUCCAGACUCCUACGGGAGGCAGCAGUGGGGAAUUUUGCGCAAUGGGGGAAACCCUGACGCAGCAACGCCGCGUGGAGGAUGAAAUCCCUUGGGAUGUAAACUCCUUUCGAUAGGGAAGAUAAUGACGGUACCUAUAGAAGAAGCCCCGGCUAACUUCGUGCCAGCAGCCGCGGUAAUACGAGGGGGGCAAGCGUUGUUCGGAAUUAUUGGGCGUAAAGGGUGCGUAGGCGGUUUGACAAGUCUGAUGUGAAAUCUAUGGGCUCAACCCAUAGUCUGCAUCGGAAACUGUCGGGCUUGAGUAUGGGAGAGGUGAGUGGAAUUUCCGGUGUAGCGGUGAAAUGCGUAGAUAUCGGAAGGAACACCUGUGGCGAAAGCGGCUCACUGGACCAUUACUGACGCUGAGGCACGAAAGCUAGGGGAGCAAACAGGAUUAGAUACCCUAGUAGUCC